UAUGUGAUCGUCUCUCGCAUAUCAAUAAGCGGAGGAAAAGAAACUAACAAGGAUUCCCUUAGUAACGGCGAGUGAAGCGGGAAGAGCUCAAAUUUGAAAUCUUCAAGGUUUUACCUUGACGAAUUGUAGUUUAAAGAAGUGUUUUCUGUUGAAGUUUUGGUAAAAGUUCUUCGGAAUAGGACAUCAUAGAGGGUGAGAAUCCCGUAUUUGACCAUUAUUUUCAGCUGUGUGGUACACUUUCAAAGAGUCGGAUUGUUUGGGAAUGCAGUCCAAAAUGGGUGGUAAAUUUCAUCUAAAGCUAAAUAUUGGCGAGAGACCGAUAGCGAACAAGUACCGUGAGGGAAAGAUGAAAAGAACUUUGAAAAGAGAGUUAAACAGUACGUGAAAUUGUCAAAAGGGAAGCGUUUGACACCAGUGUUGUUUUCUCGAAAAUCAAUUAAAAAGAGUUAGAUUUUGUUGUGUAUUGACCUUAACAGCUUGCAUUUCAAUUUUCUUGCUUUUUUUAAUGCACUUUUCGUUUAACAAGUCAACAUCAGUUUCUUUUGUUGUAAAAAGGUCAUUGGAAGGUGGCUUUCUUUUCGGAGAAAGUGUUUAUAGCCUUUGACUCCUGCAAUCGGAGAGACUGAGGUCUGCAGCGUAGAUCCUUCGGGGUUAGAUACAUUUGUGCUAAGUUAUAGCUUUUUAUAGACAACUUGUUGACUAUGAUUAGUCUUGUAGCUUACUCGCUUAUGCUAUUUUACCUACGCUUAGGAUGUUGAAGAUGUAGCACAUCAU
rnacentral:rRNA from 1 species